rnacentral:rRNA from 1 species
UACGUAGGGUGCGAGCGUUGUCCGGAAUUAUUGGGCGUAAAGAGCUUGUAGGCGGUUUGUUGCGUCUGCUGUGAAAAUCCGGGGCUCAACCCCGGACUUGCAGUGGGUACGGGCAGACUAGAGUGUGGUAGGGGAGACUGGAAUUCCUGGUGUAGCGGUGGAAUGCGCAGAUAUCAGGAGGAACACCGAUGGCGAAGGCAGGUCUCUGGGCCAUUACUGACACUGAGAAGCGAAAGCAUGGGGAGCGAACAGG